rnacentral:pre_miRNA from 1 species
AGCCAGCGCAGACUGGCACGGCCCAGCUGGCUCUGGGCAAGUAUCUCUUUGAGCCGCUCACUCUCAAGCAUGAUUAGGAGG